rnacentral:rRNA from 1 species
GUGGGGAAUCUUCCGCAAUGGACGAAAGUCUGACGGAGCAACGCCGCGUGAGUGAUGAAGGUUUUCGGACUGUAAAGCUCUGUUGUUUAGGACGAAAGUGCCUGUUGCGAACAGUUACAGGUAUUGACGGUACUAAACGAGGAAGCCACGGCUAACUACGUGCCAGCAGCCGCGGUAAUACGUAGGUGGCAAGCGUUGUCCGGAAUUAUUGGGCGUAAAGAGCAUGUAGGCGGAGAUUUAAGUCUGUUGUGAAAAUGCGGGGCUCAACCCCGUAUUGCGAUGGAAACUGAAUUUCUUGAGUGCAGGAGAGGAAAGGGGAAUUCCCAGUGUAGCGGUGAAAUGCGUAGAUAUUGGGAGGAACACCAGUGGCGAAGGCGCCUUUCUGGACUGUGUCUGACGCUGAGAUGCGAAAGCCAGGGUAGCGAACGGGAUUAGAAACCCCGGUAGUCC